CUGUAGUCUAGUCACCAAGCAGCAGCCAGAGAGAGCCUUUUAAAGAGCGACCUUGUGGGGCCUCGUGUGCAGUGGCUGUAAACAGCAGCCUCCUCGGUAGUGCACACGGUCUGGUUUUUGUCCGGGUUGCCCUAAGGGACCUUAGAGACAACC
rnacentral:snoRNA from 1 species